UACUGACGACAUUGAUCCAGACGAGUGGGAAAUUCGGAAGCGUCCUUUUUCUCAAUGGCUCGAUGGCCAGAGAUUGACGUUAACUUGAAAAAACCUAGAGUGCUAGAAGAUUCAGGAGAAUUGGAACCUCCGCGACUGCGCUAAGCUAAUGAAAAAAUUGGUGCUGUAAUAUACUGAACGACUUCUA